CCUACGGGGGGCAGCAGUGAGGAAUAUUGGUCAAUGGGCUUACGCCUGAACCAGCCAAGUCGCGUGAGGGAAGACUGCCCUAUGGGUUGUAAACCUCUUUUGUCAGGGAGCAACGCCGGCUACGUGUAGCCGGACUGAGAGUACCUGAAGAAAAAGCAUCGGCUAACUCCGUGCCAGCAGCCGCGGUAAUACGGAGGAUGCGAGCGUUCUCCGGAUUUAUUGGGUUUAAAGGGUGCGUAGGCGGAAUGCCAAGUCAGCGGUAAAAUCGCGGGGCUCAACCUCGCUCCGCCGUUGAAACUGGCGGUCUUGAGUGGGCGAGAAGUAGGCGGAAUGCGUGGUGUAGCGGUGAAAUGCAUAGAUAUCACGCAGAACUCCGAUUGCGAAGGCAGCAUACCGGCGCCCAACUGACGCUGAAGCACGAAAGCGUGGGUAUCGAACAGGAUUAGAUACCCCAGUAGUC
rnacentral:rRNA from 1 species